GCGUCGGUAGUGUAACAAUUUAGCACGCGCUUCCGGAAAGAGUGAGAUCUGGGUUCGAAUCCUGGCUGACGCA